UCCAUGUGGGAUAAGUCAACAACAUGCAUUCUCCUGCCUUUAACUUUAGUCUGAAGGUGCAAUUUCCACCAAUUAUGAUUGGAUAAAAAGACUAAGUAGCUAUGUUCCUAAAGCAUAUUACUCUUCACAGACUAAUGAUAUCAAAAGUUUAGGCCCCGCUUGUUUCUAUUCAGAUUAAGAUGUCAGAAUUUGAAUACAUCUGAAUAAUAAGAUGUGUAUUAAGAUUAAGACAUUUGAACCUGAAUACGCAUCCAAAUAUUAAAGACGUUGUAUUAAGUUUUGAGUACUAAAUAAUUAAGACUAUUUAUUUUCUCAACAUCUGAACAUAUAGAACUUGUCUUUGUUUAAAAUUUAACAACAAAAACAACAACAGCAGUCCAGUGUAAUCCCACAAGCUUUAUCUAAAAAUUACUAACUAAAAAUUCAAUUAAAAAACUAAUUAAUCUAAUACUAUAUUGACAAAAUAUUUUUUAAAACAACUAUAUGGUGGUCGGUGGUAGUGAUGACUAAUAGUGGUGGUUGUCGGCAGUAGCUAGUGGUGAUGGUGGCUGAAAGUAAAAGUUAACGAUAGUGUUGGUGGUGAUUAUUGUAAAUGGUGGCUAGUGGUGGUGACAAUUGAAUCUGAUGAUUGGUAGUGGUGGUCGUUGUGGUUGAGGAUAGUUGUGGGUGGUGGUAGUAGUUUAGUGGGCGUCGGUCAUGAAGUUGAUAAUGGUGCGUGGCGGCAAUGGUAAUGGUGUUUGCAGUGAAAGUGGAUGGAGUUGCAGUGAACUGCCAUCUUUAUAGAAAUCCUUGAAUCAAGAACAUCUCAAUGAAAUUAGAACUUUGUUAUAGGUCUUAUUAGAUCUAUUUAAACCCAUUGAGUAGUUGUUAACAAAACAAAUGCACUUAAUAAUUGAGAUCUGCAUGAUAAAAAUUCAGACCUAAAAAACAAACACACUUAAUCACUGAAAUCCGAAUGAUUAAGAUUUGAUCAUUCAUUAGCAAACAAAUGAGGACGUAACUUCAAGAAGAAUCAAGCUUGCUCUAGCUCAUGCAAUUCCAGCAAAGACGACAUGAAAGCUCUUGUACAUUGUGGUAAUUUUAGCACAUAAAGCACAUAUCUCAAUGUAAGUUAUAUUUUCCAGAGCUAAAAGUGAUUGAGGAAUUCUAUUUGGUGCUUGCAACAUUUGUUAAGUGUUUUAUAUCUUCAGGCAGCAUAAAUAUCAUUAAAUUUUAAAUUUAAGUAUCAUCAGCAGUUUUUUUCCAAAACUCCUUAGUGUCCCUUUAACCAAAAGCAAUACAGGCAUUUGCACAGGGCAUAAAUAUCUCUCAACAUACCAUAAGUAGCAACUUAUAUAUGUGCUCCUAAUCAAAUAAUGUCUCAUCCCAACUAUGUUGCUCGGAUUCUCCGAAAAUGUCAGUGGGUGCGUGUCGGAUCCUUCAAAAAUAAUGCAUUUUUUGAGGAUCCGACACGGGUGCAGCGCCAUUUCGGAGGGUCCGCGCAACAUAGCAUCCCAAAGCUGGUUAUGGUGGUUAUGUUUGGUUAUAGACACGCACUUUUUCAGACUGUUGAUUGGUACUCUUUUUCUUUAAGGUCAAAAGGAUUUGAGCAAAUAAAGUAUACUCAAUCCAUCCUUCCACAAGAUUGAACAGAAUCUAGUUUUUAACUAAAAGUUGAACUAAGUUGAACCUUUCAAAUCCAAAAUUCUUCUAUGCUAAAACUAAAAGAGAUCGAUAAGACUUUUUAUAGCAACUUCUAAUGAAGCCAUUUGCCAACCACUACCUUCGGUAACUUGGAGUUCAACUUUAUCUUGAAAAUGAGAUCACAAAUUUGGAAAAUUAGUUCUUCUGUAUUCCACAGGAGAAUUGAGACCUACAUGCUUAACCAUGGUAGAUUGGUGGAGUAUGCGAGUUAGAAUGUCUGCCACGACAUUAGAUGAUAUCAGCACUUCACCUAGAUAUGUACCUAACUCAAUUUGCUCUCGAAUUCUCUUUUUUUAGUAGAUAAUAUGUUCCCAAUUUUUUUUUAAUAGAUAAUCUUCUAUUCUGCUCCCAAAUUUUGAAACAUAAAAGUAAGUUUAAAACCAACCUCCUCUAUUACCCUGUCAUUUGUAUUAAGUCUACUAAAGUUGGCUUUUAAUUUGAUUUCUAUUAGUAAAAUCACCGUAGAUAUUAAUUGUUUUAUCUCGUUCUAUCCCGAUCAUUGUCUAUUUCAUGAUCUUAAAACGAAGCAUAUUAUUGCUAAAGGACAUUUAUCUGGUGAUCUCUACAUGCUUGAUGAAUGGGAGCAUCGGUCUAUUGCAUGCACCAGUGUCGUGUCUUCAUUUGAAGCACAUUGUCGAUUGGGACAUCCUUCUAUGCCUACGUUGAAGAAGAUUUGUCCUCAGUUUCAAAAUAUCUCCCCAUUGGAUUGUGAGUCAUAUCGACUUGCAAAACGCUAUCGCUUCUCGUUAGCUCCAAGGGGUUAAUAAGCGAGCAGAGUCAGCUUUUGAACUAGUGCAUUAUGAUGUUUGGGGACCAUAUCCUAUUGUUUCGAAAACUGGGCGCAAGUAUUUUGUCACUUUUGUAGAUAAUUUUUCUCGCAUGACUAGUUUUACUUUAUGAAGAGCUGCUCUGAAGCGUUUACUCACUUUUCUACCUUUUGUGCUAAAGUCAAAACUCAAUUUAAUACUUUCAUACGUAUGCUAAGAAGUGAUAACGCUAAAGAAUACAUGUCAGAGUUAUUUCGAUUGUACAUGAGAUAACAUGGUAUCAUAGCCACAUCUGUGGCUUCGCCGGAGUUGAGCUCUAUCUCGUUGGAUCUCUAUCAUAUCGUGAAUUGGUCAUCACCCGCUGGUGUGGGACAACUACCACUCUCCGAUCUGCAAUAACCCAGAACCUAGUGGUCGGAUAAAAAGCACGUGAAUUACACGCACCGAAGAAGUCAUUCGGACCAGAUUUCACGGGUGAGCGCGUGACGUUGCCUGUAGCCUAUGUUUGAGGUUUGAUUUAUAGAAGGAGAAGCGCAUGUCUCAUCACUUCCGCAGCAUGUCAUAAUUAUCUCGGGAAGAGGCGGGAAAACAUUCUUGCCAAUGCCAUAAAUAAACUCUCCACUUCCCGAAUAUUCAGUUGAGAAUAUUCAGAAAGUGGAGGACUAUCUGUAUUAGUGGAAAAUAAACUUGGCGCGUGAAUUUAUAUCAUGACAACAGGUGCCAUGGAAGUUAUUACGACAAAAAAGAAUAACGUGUUCAGAUGGUAUAAACAACAUCACGGGGUUGUUUGCGUAUGCACCGUGCCUGUUAGCUUCAAGGUUAACAUAAAAAAUAGCUACCGCACUGAUGAUUAAAGUCAUUAACAGCUACAAAUAUGGAAAGGAACAGUCAAUCGUUGAUUACACGCAAUUUACUAAUAUUAUCUCAACCGUUACAAAUCAAUCAUGUAACGGGCAAUUAAUGCAAUAAAUAACAGAAACACGCAAGAGCUAAACAAUGCAAAUGGUCACGAGUGAUAGUACUAUUUAAAUCCCCCUUCCAUAUCUUGUAUCCCCGUCAAAAAUUCUACUAAGUCAUAUUGUCAAUUAUAGAAUUCUCUUACUAUUCUCUAUUAAUGGAAGACUAUUUCUUGCCUACUGGAGAAAGGAUGCAAUCAUCAAUAAUAUUUCUAUUUCCUUUAUUCUCUCAAUUUAUUUCUUUAUUAUUAUUACUCUUAUUUUGCAU
rnacentral:lncRNA from 1 species